GCUUAGCCAUAAACAUCGAUGGCCACAACACCCCUGCCAUCCGCCCGGGAACUACGAGCAUCAGCUUAAAACCCAAAGGACUUGGCGGUGCUUAAGAUCCACCUAGAGGAGCCUGUUCUAGAACCGAUAAUCCCCGUUCAACCUCACCCCUUCUUGCCCAUUCCGUCUAUAUACCGCCGUCGUCAGCUUACCCUUUGAGGGUAAAACAGUAAGCAAAAUUGGCAAAGCCCAAAACGUCAGGUCGAGGUGUAGCGUAUGAAGGGGGAAGCUUAUGGGCUACAUUCACUACCAUAGUGAAAUACGGACGAUGAUGCUGAAACGCACAUCCAAAGGAGGAUUUAGCAGUAAGUGAGAAUCAGAGCGUCCCACUGAAACUGGCCCUAAAGCGCGCACACACCGCCCGUCACUCUCCCCGGGCUAAAAUUUACAUAUAUUUAAUACCCAGCACCUGCACAAGGGGAGGCAAGUCGUAACAUGGUAAGUGUACCGGAAGGUGCACUUGGAACAACCAGAGUGUAGCUAAGAUAAGAAAAGCAUCUCCCUUACACUGAGAAGUCGUCCGUGCAAAUCAGACCACCCUGACACCCAACAGCUAGCUCUACCAAUAAAAUCCAACCCUCCCCCAAUAAAUUAACCCCUAACACACUACCAACCCAUAUAAUAAAGCAUUUUACCCUCCCAGUAUGGGCGACAGAAAAGAAAACAUUAGACGCAAUAGAAAAAGUACCGCAAGGGAACGCUGAAAGAGAAAUGAAACAACUCAACUAAGUAAAAAUAAAGCAGAGAUUCACUCUCGUACCUUUUGCAUCAUGUUUUAGCAAGACAAACCAAGCAAAGAGCACUUUAGUUUGUUGCCCCGAAACUAAGUGAGCUACUCCAAGACAGCCUAUUUAAGGGCCAACCCGUCUCUGUGGCAAAAGAGUGGGAUGAGCUUCGAGUAGAGGUGAUAAACCUACCGAACUUAGUUAUAGCUGGUUGCCUAAAAAUUGAAUUUAAGUUCAGCCUCUCAGCUCCUCAACCCCCUCCCCCCGCUUUAUGCUCCCUCCCGGCGACAAAAAGAACUGAGAGAGUUAGUCAAAGGAGGUACAGCCCCUUUGACCAAAGACACAGCUUUACAAGACGGAUAAAGAUCCUACAUUACAAGGAAAAAUGUUACAGUGGGCCUAAAAGCAGCCAUCCGACCAGAAAGCGUUAAAGCUCAAACAUAUUACUUAUUUUCCUACAAUUCCGAUAACCCUAUCUUAAUCCCCUAUCACUAUUAGGCCGCUCCAUGCAAACAUGGAAGCGAUAAUGCUAAUAUGAGUAAUAAGAGAGCAUGCCUCUCUCCCUGCACGCGCGUAAACAUGGAACGGACCCCCCACCAAAUAUUACCCGGCCCCAAGCAAAGAGGGCAGUGGACGACAACAGAAACAACUAGAAAACCACCCAAAACAUGAACCGUUAACCCCACACCGGUGUGCAAUUAAGGAAAGACUAAAAGAAAAAGAAGGAACUCGGCAAACACACAGCCUCGCCUGUUUACCAAAAACAUCGCCUCUUGCCAAAAUCAAAAUAUAAGAGGUCCCGCCUGCCCUGUGACAACAAGUUUAACGGCCGCGGUAUUCUGACCGUGCAAAGGUAGCGCAAUCACUUGUCUUUUAAAUGAAGACCCGUAUGAAUGGCAUGACGAGGGCUUAACUGUCUCCUUUUUCCAGUCAAUGAAAUUGAUCUCCCCGUGCAGAAGCGGGGAUAAACCCAUAAGACGAGAAGACCCUGUGGAGCUUUAGACACCAAAGCAGUCCUUGUUAAACACCCUAAGACAAAAGACAUAACCAUAAAGGACCCUGCCCUAAUGUCUUCGGUUGGGGUGACCAUGGGGAAUAAAAAACCCCUACGUGGAACGAGGGAACUCCCCCUCACAACCAAGAGUCACAACUCUAACUACUAGAACUUCUACCCAAAAGAUCCGGCAACGCCGAUCAACGAACCAAGUUACCCCAGGGAUAACAGCGCAAUCCCCUUCUAGAGCCCCUAUCGACAAGGGGGUUUACGACCUCGAUGUUGGAUCAGGACAUCCUAAUGGUGCAGUCGCUAUUAAGGGUUCGUUUGUUCAACGAUUAAAGUCCU
rnacentral:misc_RNA from 1 species